rnacentral:rRNA from 1 species
UACAGAGGUCCCGAGCGUUGUUCGGAUUCACUGGGCGUAAAGGGUGCGUAGGUGGUGAGGUAAGUCGGAUGUGAAAUCUCCGGGCUCAACCCGGAAAUGGCAUUGGAAACUACCUUGCUGGAGGAUUUGAGGGGGGAUUGGAAUACUUGGUGUAGCAGUGAAUGCGUAGAUAUCAAGUGGAACACCAGUGGCGAAGGCGAAUCCCUGGAAAAUACCUGACACUGAGGCACGAAAGCUGAGGGGAGCAAACAGG